UUAAUCACUGAGCCUUGCGCGCGCGUGCGUGCGUGUGUGUGUGUGUGUGUGUGUGUGUGUGUGUGGUGUGUGGUGUGUGGUGUGUGUGUGUGUGUGGUAUAAGAGUCUGGCUCACUCUGCAAGAUAGGAAAGAGCUGCCCCCACCCUUUAUUAUUUGUGAAGUGCAAUAUGUACACUUCCUUCCGUGUAUAUUUGAGGAACGAUUUAAUUGGAGACGAACACACUGGAUCUGGAUUGCACUGCCUGCCUUCACACAUCCCCAGACACGUUAAAAUGCCUUAGGGGGAAGAUCUCACUCGGAUAAUGCCAAGGAAAACCCAAUUAUUUUCCUGAUUUGCUGGAGUUACACGCUGAAAUUCGGGCAAACCAAUAGACACCACGCAUUCCCCAGUCCUCCACAACCCUCGGCACUGGAGGUUAGAGACACAGGCAUAAUGUAAAUAAGGUUUGCGGCAACAAUGCGGAUAAACAUUCGCUAAAACCCAGGACGACUUCUGUUGGAGUGGAUUACCCCGGGAAUCUCCGGGCUGCACAGGGGGAGGACGCCGCCUCGAUAUCUUCAUUUCCAUCGAAAAUCAAACAUGAUCGGUCAUGGAUUCCCCCCCCCCCCAUGAAGACCAGGAGCCCCCAGUACAAGAUUAAGAGGACACUGCAAGAGGAAGCUACAAGGGGCUGCAAGGGGGACUUCACCCCUGGAGCAUGUGACAGCCUCAUCAAUGGACUGGGAAUCAUUGUCCCCUGAUCAUGAAAGACAGGGACCUCUCUGAGCCUCCAUUCCUCUGCAAAAGGAGCUAAGAAGACUUGGCAUCAAGCUGGGGGAAUCACGCUCUACAGACUUGAGCAGUCUGAGUUCUAAGUGUCAGGAGAAAAACUAUAUUUUUUGAAAAGUAAAGAAGUAGAGGAUUUUGAAUUUGUCCUGUCAAGAGAAUCAUACACUGUGUGGAUGUCACAGCUUCCUCACAACUGCUGCUGGAUCUGGAGCAAUGACACACCUGCCAACUUCUGUCAGGCUUUCCCAUACCACGAUGAGAUUAGGGUCUAAAUAACAUGCAAACUGAAGGGUGAGCGUGUGGAAACACAGCUCGACCGCAGCUAUCUGCAAUCCAAGAAGAGGGACCUCAGAAGAACCCUGACCUGCUGACAUCUGACCUUGGACUUCCAGCCUCUGGAAUGGUGAAAUAAUAAAGCUCUGCUGUUUAAGCCACCCAGUGGGUGGUACUUUGUUAUGGUUGCAAGACAAAUACUAGGAUCAAUCAGAGUCUGGGGCCAGAAGGACUGGACUGUAGGAGUCCAGAUGAGGGGACAGGAAGGAAGAAGAGAUGUAAGCUGUGAAGAUGACAGGAGGGUUGUGGCCUGGGCGUCUGGGUGGAGAGGAGGAAAGCAGGAAGUUUGGGGUGAUGCCCGUUUGGGGGAGGGCCGACUGGGUGCCCCAUUCAAAGGAGGCAGAAUCAUGGGAUGAUGGGGGAGGUGCCUGGGGGAAGGCAAGCAAUAGGAGGGUGGGGUCCCAUGGGAGGAGGAGGAGGAGGAGGAGGAGGGGACGAGGAUGCUGUUGAUCCUGGGCCCUGGUUCCCUCUGAGAGUCACCCCUGGGUCUUGCUCAUCCAUUCCCAGUGGCUGGCCCACGGUGAGAGACAUGAAUGGCCCGAGUCCCUGAGCCCGCAGUGCUUCUGCCCCUCCACCCACCCCCUUCCCUAUCUCAUCUGCUGGGAGCUGGGGUGUCGUGGGCCACACUGGAGCUGAGGCAGGACCAGCAUGGUCCCGCCGUGUUUAUGCCCUGACCACCUCAUAACUCCUCCCACUCUGGGAAUUAUUUUUCUCUAUCAUUUUUCCUUAUUUCAACAACAACAAUAAAGCCCGGCCUAGACUUCAGAUAUAUUCCUUUGGUGUUUUCACUGGGCUCAGCCCCUCAUUAACUGAGCGUGGAAUUAAAUAGAUGGCCAGAAUUUCCCCACAUUGUCCUAAGUGGUGGUUGAUUAUAGUCACUCCUUUUAAACCAAACCAGAAUGGUCUUGAACUUGGUUUUCCAAUUCUUUCCAAGGAGAUCUUGACUGUUUUCUCUGCUGGGUUCUGGGCACACUUUGAAAGCCCUGUAUAGGGUCCUUCAUCUCAUUUCUGGGUAAAUGGCUGCUUUUCAUCUUUCUCUGUCCAAGGACAGGGACCACAUCUUUCUUCAGCUUACCUUCUUUGUAGGGAGAGAAGCCUUCAGAGCACAUCUGCUUUAUUGAGUAGAUGUAAAUCCAACCAAGGGGAAGUCACGUUUUCACACCUGCAGAGAGCAUUCCAUAUGGUGCUUUGCUUCCAUUGUUAGUCGCUCGUUGACUCAUUCUGGCUGAGUGUGUGCUGGGGCCAGGCCCAGUAAAGUGAAGACGAAGCUGAAGGUCACACAGUCCCUGCCUACAACCAGCUUCUGGUCUAGAUGCCGAUGAUGUGAAAAUGCACAGCUACUGUGUUUUCUCCUGUUGGUGAUGAUGCCGAGGAUCUUUUUCUUCUCUUUAAUUCUCAUCUCUGAUGGAGAAGGCAUUCCAGAUAUUUCCUCCUUCUAGAUAUACCCCCAAAUUGGAAAAUAAAAGCAGCAGCUGCCAAACUGUUCAUGAAGCAUUUGUUUGUGCUCUGAGAUUUUCCAAGCACCGAGCGCGGGUAUCAGUCAGCUUGGGAUGCUGUAACAAAAUGCCACUGGUUGGGUGGCCUAAAGCACAGGUCCUCAUCUUAUACUUCCCCAGGCCGGUGGCCCAUGACCGAGGUGCUGGGAGCUUUGGUUUCUGGUGAGGCCUUGGCUCCUGGCUGGUGAACACUAUCUUCUUGCUGUACCCUCACCCGGCCUUUCUUCUGUGUACCCGAUGCUUCUUUCUUCUCAGAAGGACCCCAGUCAGUCCUAAUGGACCAGGGUUCUGUUUUAUGACCUCAUUUAAGCUUGCUACUUCCUUAUUGGUCUCAUCUCCAAAUAAUCACUGAGGGUGAGGACCUCGACACAUGGAUUUGGGGGAGGGGACAGUUGAGGCACUCAGUGUGUUCUUUGCUUGCCCUCAAAAUGACCUUGGAGGUGGGGCCUGUUGCCCUGUCCCUUCCUGAGUCUACGUGCAGCUCCCCAGAGCUCUUGGGACUGCAGCUGAGCUUCCGACCCAGACUCUGAGGCUGAGAUCGUUAACUCUUCCUCCCUGCUGAGUGCUGGGGUGGGGGUGGGAUGCUAGUCAAUGGGCCAUGGCUGAAAGUUUGCAACAUCUUUUGCCUAUUACUAUGUAUUUUGUUUAAUCAAAUGUAAUGAGGUUUGUGGAAACACUAAACUGAAGUUAUUUUCAAGUAGGAACUG